rnacentral:lncRNA from 1 species
GUCAGUAGACGUUAGCACUGCAGAGGCAAUGCCAGAAAGUCUUAGGAAAAAUCUGACUGAAUUGCUUAGGGCAGCUUUAAAAAUUAGAGCUUGCUUGGAAAAGCAGCCUGACCCUUUCUCACCGAGACAAAAGAAAACACUACAGGAGAUCCAGGAGGGCUUUGUAUUUUCCAAGUAUCUCCAUAGAGCCCUUCUUCUACCUGAGCUUCUGGAAGGAGUGCUACAGCUCCUCAUCUCUUGUCUUCAGAGUGCAGCUUCAAAUCCCUUUUACUUCAGUCAAGCCAUGGAUUUAGUUCAAGAAUUUAUCCAGCACCAGGGAUUUAAUCUGUUUGAAACAGCAGUUCUUCAGAUGGAGUGGCUGCUUUCAAGGGAUGCUGUUCCUUCAGAGGCCGCAGAACAUUUGAAAGCCCUGAUAAACAGUGUAAUAAAAAUAAUGAGUACUGUCAAAAAAGUUAAAUCUGAGCAACUUCAUCAUUCCAUGUGCACAAGGAAAAGGCACCGGCGUUGUGAGUAUUCCCACUUCAUGCAGCACCACCGAGAUCUCUCAGGUCUCCUGGUUUCAGCUUUUAAAAAUCAGCUUUCUGAAAGCCCUUUUGAAGAGACUGCUGAGGGAGAUGUGCAGUAUCCAGAAC